UACGUAGGUGGCAAGCGUUAUCCGGAAUUAUUGGGCGUAAAGAGCGCGCAGGUGGUUGAUUAAGUCUGAUGUGAAAGCCCACGGCUUAACCGUGGAGGGUCAUUGGAAACUGGUCGACUUGAGUGCAGAAGAGGGAAGUGGAAUUCCAUGUGUAGCGGUGAAAUGCGUAGAGAUAUGGAGGAACACCAGUGGCGAAGGCGACCACCUGGACUGAUACUGACACUGAGGUGCGAAAGCGUGGGGAGCAAACAGGAUUAGA
rnacentral:rRNA from 1 species